GCUGGGCACGAUGGCACAUACCUGUAGUCCCAGCUACCUGGGAGGCUGAGGUGGGAGGAUCUCUUGAGCUCAGGAGUUCUGGGCUGUAGUGAGCUAUGCCGAUUGGGUUGUCAGCAUUAUUUUGACAUCGAUAUGGAGAUAUUCUGAGAGCAGGGGACCACGAGGUUGCCUUAGGAGGGGCAAACCAGCCCAGGUCGGAAACGGGACAGGAAAUUUGCUUUGGUUCCAUUCCCUGUUGACUUGGCUCGCUCCUGUUGGCAUUCAACAGUGGAAGGAAGCUGUCUCCUGAGCUAUUUCAGAUACACUUUCU
rnacentral:SRP_RNA from 1 species